GUGAAAUGCGUAGAGAUCCGGAGGAACACCAAAGGCGCAGGCAGUGUCCCUGGGAAGUACCUGACGCUCAGGGACGAAAGCUAGGGGAGCGAACGGGAUUAGAUACCCCGGUAGUCCUAGCCGUAAACGAUGACCACCAGGCGUGGGAGGUAUCGACCCCUUCCGUGCCGUCGGAUACCCUUUGAGUGGUCCGCCUGGGGAGUACGGUCGCAAGAUUAAAACUCAAAGGAAUUGACGGGGACCCGCACAAGCAGCGGAGCGUGUGGUUUAAUUCGAUGCAACGCGAAGCACCUUACCAGGGCUUGACAUGCAGAUGCACCAGCUAGAGAUAGCUGUCCCUUCGGGGCGUCUGCACAGGUGCUGCAUGGCUGUCGUCAGCUCGUGUCGUGAGAUGUUGGGUUAAGUCCCGCAACGAGCGCAACCCCCAUCGUUAGUUGCAUGAUCUAACGAGACUGCCGCGAUCAACGUGGAGGAAGGUGGGGAUGAUGUCAAGUCAGCACGGCCCUUACGUCCUGGGCGACACACACGCUACAAUGGCCGAGACAACGAGUCGCCAACCAGCAAUGGGGAGCUAAUCUCAGCAAACUCGGUCUCAGUUCAGAUUGCAGGCUGCAACCCGCCUGCAUGAAGUCGGAGUUGCUAGUAACCGCAAGUCAGCACAUUGCGGUGAAUACGUUCCCGGGUCUUGUACACACCGCCCGUCACACCACGAAAGUCGGCAACACCUGAAGCCGCCGGGCUAACCCUUCGGGGAGGCAGGCGUCGAGGGUGGGGUCGGUGAUUGGGGUGAAGUCGUAACAAGGUAACCGU
rnacentral:rRNA from 1 species